CAUGCAUGUCUAAGUUCAAGCGAAAAUAAAGUGAAACCGCGAAUGGCUCAUUACAUCAGUUAUGGUUCCUUAGAUCGCACUUACUACUUGGAUAACUGUGGUAAUUCUAGAGCUAAUACAUGCGCUGGGCCCCAACCCUCGUGGAAGGGGCGCUUUUAUUAGAUCAAAGCCAAUCGGGUCUUCGGAUCCGUUCUAUGGUGACUCUGAAUAACUUUGCUGAUCGCAUGGUCUCGUACCGGCGACGUAUCUUUCAAGUGUCUGCCUUAUCAACUUUCGAUGGUAGGUUAUGCGCCUACCAUGGUUGUAACGGGUAACGGGGAAUUAGGGUUCGAUUCCGGAGAGGGAGCCUGAGAAACGGCUACCACAUCCAAGGAAGGCAGCAGGCGCGCAAAUUACCCACUCCCAGCACGGGGAGGUAGUGACGAAAAAUAACGAUGCUAAACUCAUACGAGGCUUAGCAAUCGGAAUGAGUACACUUUAAAUCCUUUAACAAGGAUCUAUUGGAGGGCAAGUCUGGUGCCAGCAGCCGCGGUAAUUCCAGCUCCAAUAGCGUAUAUUAAUGUUGCUGUUGUUAAAAAGCUCGUAGUUGGAUCUCGGUUUCGGGGAGGCGGUCCGGCUUGCGCCGGUUACUGUCACCUCGGACGAUUAUGUUGGUUCGUUCAUGGUGCUCUUAACCGGGUGCCUUGAGUGGCCAGCACGUUUACUUUGAAAAAAUUGGAGUGCUCAAGGCAGGCGCUACAGCCUGAACAUUUGUGCAUGGAAUAAUGGAAUAGGAUCUCGGUUCUAUUUCGUUGGCUUUCGGAGUCGAGGUAAUGAUUAAUAGGGACAGACGGGGGCAUUCGUACUGCGACGUUAGAGGUGAAAUUCUUGGAUCGUCGCAAGACGAACUACUGCGAAAGCAUUUGCCAAGAAUGUUUUCAUUAAUCAAGAACGAAAGUUAGAGGUUCGAAGGCGAUCAGAUACCGCCCUAGUUCUAACCAUAAACGAUGUCGACUGGCGAUCCGGCUCCGUUAACUGAAUGACUAGCCGGGCAGUCUCCGGGAAACCAAAGUUUUUGGAUUCAAGGGGAAGUAUGGUUGCAAAGCUGAAACUUAAAGGAAUUGACGGAAGGGCACCACCAGGAGUGGAGCCUGCGGCUUAAUUUGACUCAACACGGGAAAACUCACCAGGCCCGGACACCGGAAGGAUUGACAGAUUGAGAGCUCUUUCUUGAUUCGGUGGGUGGUGGUGCAUGGCCGUUCUUAGUUGGUGGAGCGAUUUGUCUGGUUAAUUCCGAUAACGAACGAGACUCUGGCCUACUAACUAGACGGAGAAUCCCUUGUGGGUUCUCUGCAGCUUCUUAGAGGGACGGGCGGCGUUUAGCCGCACGAGAUUGAGCAAUAACAGGUCUGUGAUGCCCUUAGAUGUUCUGGGCCGCACGCGCGCUACACUGAAGGACUCAGCAUGUGUUCCCUGCCUGAAAGGGCCGGGAAACCCUCUGAACCUCCUUCGUGAUGGGGAUUGGGGAUUGCAAUUAUUCCCCAUGAACGAGGAAUUCCUAGUAGGCGUGAGUCAUCAGCUUGCGUCGAUUACGUCCCUGCCCUUUGUACACACCGCCCGUCGCUACUACCGAUCGAGUGAUUUAGUGAGGCCUUUGGACUGGUCUUCGUUAUGGCUUUCGGGUCGUGCCGG
rnacentral:rRNA from 1 species